CGGUCUGUGGAACCCUGCUCAGGGUGUCUCAUCAGUGAAGUUCUGUUCAAUUGACAUUGGUUGAGCCCUGGGUUGGACAUCUUAAUCUGUCCCUCGGGGUCCCUCUCACCCUUUUCCACCCUGCCCUGUGCCCCAGGAGGCUGACCUGUAUGGACUGCAUCAGCGGGCUCCCAUUCCUGCAGGGCUGACCACACUCUUCAGUCAUAUGUCACAGCCCCUCAGGCAGUGCUCUACACUCUUGGGGCCUUGGCGUCAGGGCACUACAGCACCCACUGUACUGGUCCACACCUUUGUAAACAGUCCCUUUGUUAAAUUCUCCUCACAUUAUCCCAAUUCAAGUGGCCCCUUGUUGCCUGCUUGGACGCUGACUGAUGCAAACAUUUACUGUGUGUGCCCAGAUGGGCAAAAUAUGGAUCUUGCCCUGGAGAAGCUCUCAGAAGGGAGACAGAUCCAUGAGCAGUUUCUGCCUCCUGCAGCAGGUGACAGGAGCCCAUGUGCUGUGGCAACACUGACCCAGGAGGGUCAGAAAGGCUUCCUGAGGAGAUGCCCAGAGCCUGGAAGCUGGACAGUCAGAGUUAGUCAAGUGACAGGCUGAAGUGGGAAUACCCUUUCAUCCCAGCCAAAACCAGAGGUGUGAUGCCGGGUGGGAUGUGCCGGGACCUGCCAGCUGUUUGAGGUACCUAGAGGGUUGCAGUGGGGCUGAGGUAGCUGACGGGCCAGGCCAGGGAAGGCUACAUAGGUUGCACUAGGUGCUGGGACUUUAACCCUGUCACUGCCCUGCUUUAACUGGCCAGUGGCUCCCCAUCCCAGAUGGACAUUUAUUAAGAUCACUCAGCUGCUGUGCAAAGAACCCCUCUAAAAGGGUUGGUAUGAAGGACCAGGAAGGGAGCAGGGAAUUCAGUAAAUUCAAGAGAUGGCCAGGCGCGGUGGCUCACGCCUGUAAUUCCUGCACUUUGGGAGGCCGAGGCGGGUAGAUCAUCUGAGGUCAGGAGUUUGAGACCAGUCUGGCCAGCGUGGCGAAACUAUCUCUACCAAAAAUACGAAAAUUAGCUGGGCGUGGUGGCAUGCACCUGUAAUCCCGGCUACUCGGGAGGCUGACACAGGAGAAUCGCUUAAACCCGGGAGGCGGAGGUUGAGUGAGCUGAGAUCGUGCCACUGCACUCCAGCCUGGGUGACAGAGCAAGACUUCGUCUCAAAAAAAAAAAAAAAAAAAGGAAAACAAAACAAAACAACAUAAUACUCUGGUAAGGCAAGGCAGGGAUGGAGGACAGGAGUUAAGAAAGAUUUGAGGGAAAAUAGCUAUUUAGUAGGUAGAAGUAGCUUGGCAUAGAGAAAGGACCAUGCUGGGAAACAGGGCAGGGAGUUCAGAAAUUCAAGUUAGCACUAUCAAAUUAUCUUGGGAUAGGUUAUUGAGAGGUGGGCUUUGUAUUCAGAGGAACUUCAUAGUGAAGGAGAAUGGGGUAGGGGGUUGGGGGUGAGCACAGGGCAAGCUGCAGGCUGUUCCUGUGGAGGGGAGCUGGGCCAGCUCAGCUGCUGACUGGUGGAGGCCUGGGCUGAGGCAGGGAGGGGAGAUGCCUGCAGCAGCCAAUGCACAGCUGGGGGUCUGGUGAGACUGUGUGUGAUCUGGGCUACAGGGCUUUCUCUCCUGCUGGCCUGUGCUGCCUCUCGCCCUGCCCUUGUGCUCUGGAGCUGCCCCUCCUCUGAGCCAUGUCCAAGAAAUAAAGCGCAUCCAUGCCUCCCUGCACCUGCAGUCUUAAACCUGUUGGGCUACUCAAUUGAUAAACUUCCCCUGAGGUGGAAUAGGCAGGAUCUGGUGAAAGUUUGGAGGUGGAUGGAGGUGAGGGUACCUUCUAGGGCUCUGACUUGGUGGAAUGGAUGGGGCUCUUUAUGGAGUUCAGGAUCUUAGGAGGGGAGAGAGGAGAAGGCAGGGAAUUCUUUUCUGCUUGUUUAGUUGCAAGUGUUUUGUUGACAGUACGGUACACCAAACAUAAGGUCGGGGGUGAGAAUAGAGGGAGAGAGACUUGAGAGGCUUCAGAAAUGCACGGUGCUUCUAAUCAUGAGGUCACCCAACGAGAGGCUGGGGAGAGAGGCGCAGUAAGCCAGGGUGGAGCGCUGGAGAAGCCGAUGUUUAGGAGGCAGGUGGGCAGGAAGAAGCUGGGUGGGGAGUCAAGAAGACAGUCAAGGAGAUGGGAGGAGGACUGGGGAAGUGGAGUCCUGGAAGCCAGGGAGGUGAUGUUCCAAGAGGAAGUGGUCAACCUCAACAGAUGAAGUGAGGCCUGUGGAGGGACAGGUGGAGUGGCUACAGGCCAUCACUGGUGAAGCAGUGGGGUCAGGCAGCCUGUGGUGGGGUGAGAAGGGGGAAGUGCAGGUGACUUCUGCAAGAAGCUUGGCUGAGAAGGGAAGGAGAGAGAUGGGCUGUAACUGGAGGUCGACAUAAGGAUUUUAGGAUGGGAGACACCUGAGCAACUCUUCUUGUAGACAGGUGGUUCUCCCCUUGUUUCGAGGGGGUCUUUGGUAAGAAUAUGUUGGCACAGUAAGUUACUAAGAGAUCAAUAUCAUCAAGAGAAGGCCCACUAGUAUGAUCUGCAUUUUACCCUGAAGGCUGUCCGGUGACGCCCAGACCCAGGGAAUUGGGAUCAGGCUGCCUGAUGGAGAGCCUAGGCUCUGCAUGGAGACCCCUGGGGGGACCCCUGGGGCUUAUCUGACUUGGACGAAGGUUGAUUUGAUGGGGAAAGUAAACAACUAUUUGAUGCCAUCCCUGGACUCUAUUUCUGACCAUCUACUAGAGGCUUUGUGCCCUUCAGAUACUGUGGGUGCUGUCAGGGGCUUACAGCAGCAGUGAUCACAUUCACUAAACACUUCCUAGCCCAGUCCUAAGCAUUUUAUGUGCCCAGUAUAAUCUUAUCUUCCCAGCGGCCUCAUGAGGUAGGUUCUGUCAGCAUCACUGGGUUUCGCCCUGUGCUACAGGCACAGGAACCAAAGCUCAGAGAGGUGGGGUAACUUGUCUAAGGUCCCAGGCCUGGGAAACGGUGACGCUGGGCUGCCUAACCGCGCUGCAGUGCCACUGCACCAUAGUUGGUGGUUGUUUGUGAGUGGAAGUCGGGGUGGGGGUCAGUGGUGACUGAUAGAAGGAGACCCCAGCAGAGCAGGAAGCAGGAGAAUCUGAGCAAGUGAAAGGGCACCUCAUUCCCUGAGCGUGGUGGGGGGACUGGGUGCUCAGAGAGG
rnacentral:lncRNA from 10 species